GAAUUCGAUUCAGGCGUAACACAUGCAAGUCGAGCGGUAGAGAUUCUUCGGAAUCUUGUGAGCGGCGUACGGGUGCGGAACACGUGUGCAACCUACCUUUAUCUGGGGGAUAGCCUUUCGAAAGGAAGAUUAAUACCCCAUAAUAUAUUGAUUGGCAUCAAUCGAUAUUGAAAACUCCGGUGGAUAGAGAUGGGCACGCGCAAGAUUAGCUAGUUGGUGAGGUAACGGCUCACCAAGGCAAUGAUCUUUAGGGGGCCUGAGAGGGUGAUCCCCCACACUGGUACUGAGACACGGACCAGACUCCUACGGGAGGCAGCAGUGAGGAAUAUUGGACAAUGGGUGCAAGCCUGAUCCAGCCAUCCCGCGUGAAGGACGACUGCCCUAUGGGUUGUAAAGUGUCUUUUGUACAGGGAUAAACCUACCCUCGUGAGG
rnacentral:rRNA from 1 species